rnacentral:rRNA from 1 species
AUACGCCCUACAGGGGAAAGGAGGGGACCUUCGGGCCUUUCGCAAUUAGAUGAGUCUAGGUGGGAUUAGCUAGUAGGUGAGGUAAUGGCUCACCUAGGCGACGAUCCCUAGCUAGUCUGAGAGGAUGAUCAGCCACACUGGAACUGAGACACGGUCCAGACUCCUACGGGAGGCAGCAGUGGGGAAUAUUGCACAAUGGGCGAAAGCCUGAUGCAGCCAUGCCACGUGUGUGAAAAAGGCCUUCGGGUUGUAAAGCACUUUCAGCGAGGAGGAAAGGUAGGUAGUUAAUAACUGCUUACUGUGACGUUACUCGCAGAAGAAGCACCGGCUAACUUCGUGCCAGCAGCCGCGGUAAUACGAGGGGUGCAAGCGUUAAUCAGAAUUACUGGGCGUAAAGCGUACGCAGGCGGUUUAGUAAACCAGAUGUGAAAGCCCUAGGCUCAACCUAGGAAUUGCAUUUGGAACUGACAGACUAGAGUCUUGUAGAGGGGGGUAGAAUUUCAGGUGU